rnacentral:rRNA from 1 species
AGAGUUUGAUCCUGGCUCAGGACGAACGCUGGCGGCGUGCUUAACACAUGCAAGUCGAACGAUGAUGCCCAGCUUGCUGGGUGGAUUAGUGGCGAACGGGUGAGUAACACGUGAGUAACCUGCCCCUGACUCUGGGAUAAGCGUUGGAAACGACGUCUAAUACUGGAUAUGAUCACUGGCCGCAUGGUCUGGUGGUGGAAAGAUUUUUUGGUUGGGGAUGGACUCGCGGCCUAUCAGCUUGUUGGUGAGGUAAUGGCUCACCAAGGCGACGACGGGUAGCCGGCCUGAGAGGGUGACCGGCCACACUGGGACUGAGACACGGCCCAGACUCCUACGGGAGGCAGCAGUGGGGAAUAUUGCACAAUGGGCGAAAGCCUGAUGCAGCAACGCCGCGUGAGGGAUGACGGCCUUCGGGUUGUAAACCUCUUUUAGUAGGGAAGAAGCGAAAGUGACGGUACCUGCAGAAAAAGCACCGGCUAACUACGUGCCAGCAGCCGCGGUAAUACGUAGGGUGCAAGCGUUGUCCGGAAUUAUUGGGCGUAAAGAGCUCGUAGGCGGUUUGUCGCGUCUGCUGUGAAAUCCCGAGGCUCAACCUCGGGCUUGCAGUGGGUACGGGCAGACUAGAGUGCGGUAGGGGAGAUUGGAAUUCCUGGUGUAGCGGUGGAAUGCGCAGAUAUCAGGAGGAACACCGAUGGCGAAGGCAGAUCUCUGGGCCGUAACUGACGCUGAGGAGCGAAAGCAUGGGGAGCGAACAGGAUUAGAUACCCUGGUAGUCCAUGCCGUAAACGUUGGGCGCUAGAUGUAGGGACCUUUCCACGGUUUCUGUGUCGUAGCUAACGCAUUAAGCGCCCCGCCUGGGGAGUACGGCCGCAAGGCUAAAACUCAAAGGAAUUGACGG